GAGGAAGAAGAGAAUGUCUUGCAUUCUUAUGGGAACCAUAACCCCCUCUUAUAACAUAUGAGUUAUGAAACUCAAAAGUCAUAAGCAUGUAACCAUGUAUGUAACUUAGUUAGCCCAUCAUUAACUAAGGUUACCCUUUUGGGUAUCUACACAUUAGUCCUACACUUUAUAUGACAAUAUAUUGGCCCCCUUUACAAUGUCCAUAAGACCACCAAUU
rnacentral:lncRNA from 1 species